UACGGGGGGGGCAAGCGUUGUUCGGAAUUACUGGGCGUAAAGGGUUCGUAGGUGGCUGGCUAAGUCAGACGUGAAAUCCCUCAGCUUAACUGGGGAACUGCGUCUGAGACUGGUCAGCUUGAGUGCAGGAGAGGAACGCGGAAUUCCCGGUGUAGCGGUGAAAUGCGCAGAUAUCGGGAGGAACACCGGUGGCGAAGGCGGUUCUCUGGGUAGAUACUGACGCUGAGGUGCGAAAGCGUGGGGAGCAAACAGG
rnacentral:rRNA from 1 species